rnacentral:rRNA from 1 species
CCAAGCGUUGUUCGGAUUCACUGGGCGUAAAGGGUGCGUAGGUGGUGGGGUAAGUCGGAUGUGAAAGCUCGGAGCUCAACUCCGAAAUGGCAUUGGAAACUACCCUGCUAGAGGAUUGGAGGGGGGACUGGAAUACUUGGUGUAGCAGUGAAAUGCGUAGAUAUCAAGUGGAACACCAGUGGCGAAGGCGAGUCCCUGGACAAUACCUGACACUGAGGCACGAAAGCUAGGGGAGCAAACAGG